CCACGGCUGUUGUGCGUCUCUCUCUCUCGUAUCGACUUCAUCCACUCCUUUCGCUUGCACACGCACACACGCACGUACACGAGGUACAUCGCUGGGUGCGGGUGCCUAAGUGCACGUAUGGGUGGCAGGGAGGGAGGAGGGAAGAUAGCAUGCCAAUGCGAGAAGCCGACGCGCAAAAGCCGAUCUCCCUUGUUUUCCGUUUGCCCUACUCCUUCCCUCCCCUCAGUUCGGCGGCGGAUUCUUGAGUUGCCGAGGAGGAGGAGGGGGAUCAACAGCCACACAGAAAGCGGCACUCUGUCUUCCUUUUUCAUUUGUUUUGUUGUCGGGUGUGUAUCUUUCUGCACUUGUUAUCAACGCGUGUGCGUGUCUGCACAUCCGCGCAGCUGCCGCAGCCUUUGUUCUGACUGAACGAAGAAGAGCACUAAAGUCAUGAGGAGGCCUCAUGUGCUGCGCCCUUUUCUUUCUCUUCCCGCACAACGAGAGCCGUGCGUAGGCGGGGACCGCUCUCGACGAAACGGGCCUCAUCUGGCUGCGCCGCCGCUCCUCCGUGUGCCCUUGUCGAUUUCAGCAUGGCGCUUGACUGCCCCCCUGGGGGUGGUGCAAGUGGCGGGCACUGCAGACUCGGUGCCGCUGGCAUCGGGUGAGGUCGCUGCACGGUCAAGGUUUCCAGAUUCACACGACAGUGAUGAAUCGCGCCCGUCGGCGGCAGCGCUAGUCUCUUCCUCAAGCAUUCACGGCGGCAGCUGCGCCGGUGAGGCGGCCGAGGAGGCACCUCUGGCCCCUACACUAUUCCACCUUCUGCAGCUCCGGCGCUGGGGCGAUUUGCACCCCGCUUUCAUAGGUGGUGCACACUCGUCAGGCGUGAUGGCCAUGCCUGAACAGAUGUCGAGGGGCACGCCACCACCACCGCCGGCCAAACCGUCCUCCCAGCAGGAGGGGGAUCUUGUGGGCCUGAACCGUGAAGUCCGCGCCUUGGGCGACCUGCUGCGUGCGUACCACUUCUCGUAUCGGCCACUGCCCAUGUGUGUGCCCAAAACGACGCCCUCCAUUUCCAACACAGCUCAGAGGAGCCGCGGAGGGUCACGAAAGGACAAGCGCGCCCCGGCUCAGCUGGUGGCUACGUCGACGGAUGCCGAAGAGGCGUGGCUGCUGCCGUUGCAGCGCGAUGUCGUGCAGUGCGUGCUGCGCCGCCUGCAGGUGAUGGAGCUCGUUCUCAAGAGGUUGGUGGCUCGAGGUACAUCACAGAAAGGCGGUGCAGUCGGCAGUCCUGCAAAGGCAGUACAUGAGGAGGUCACCGCAUUCUUCGCUGAGGAGAUCCGUGUGGUCGCCGAGCUUGUGGCGUUGCGCGGUGUUCAUGAGCGCGACGCCCAGUCGUUGAGCUGCCUCGUCCACGUCCUCACUGCUGCAGCGGAUGCAGGUGUGGUCGUAUCCGUCGCCACGCUUGUCGAGGCAGCAGCUGCGGCGGUGCAGCACAGUCAGUGUGGUGUGAAGGAGGGCCGCGCCUCGGUGGCAACGACCGCCUGGCGCAGCUGUGUGCCGUGGCUGCUUCACUGCUACUCCACAACAGAUAUGCGGGUAUCACCAUCGCUGCUGACCACCUCGGUGCAAACACUCGGCGACGACGCUGCAAGCUGGUCGACUGCGAGCGCAUGGAUGACCGCCGCUGCGGAUCGCGUGUGCGCCACGCAAAGCACUGAGCUGCUUCAGCUCACGCCAACACCUGCGGAGGCGCGGUGGAAAGGCGUGGUGACUGGCAGCGGCGCCGACACCUCGGUGCAGCGCGAGAAGGCAGCGAGGGCGCAUACGUUUUGUCCGUGGCAGGGCGUGCUGGAUGCCGAGGCUACCGAAACGGCGGAGGCGCAGACGUACACGUUCGAGGGAGACGGCGGCGGCAACAGGAGAAGGGCGGCAGGGGAGACGUGGCUGCGCGACUGGUGUGCAGGGUGCGGCAUCACAGACGUCGGAGGAGAGAGCAACAGCGACUCCACCGGCACGUGGCACCCCUACUGGAAACUGGUGGUCAGUGGGAUGGUGCGAAGCUGUGCCCGCGCUGUGGAUGCGAUUGUUGAGCUCAGCGAGGGAACUGGCGAAGAGAGGUGCAGUGAUGAGCUUUCUUCAGCGAGGCCAAAGACUACGCGACAUCGCAGCCCGGCAUCGUCAAACUCGACGCUUGCCACGCUGGAAGAAAUUCAGUUUUACGCCGUUGGAUCUUACGUCUCUCUCCGGCGCAUUGCAAGCUCGCUGCAGCGUCAUCAUCGUCUCAUGCCGCUGUUGCAGCUGCAUGAGAUGGUGAGCGGGUUUGUUGGCCCGUCUGGCGCAGUCGCGGGUGCUCUCUUGCCGCCGCCGCAGCGACGACAAUGGCACGAGAACAAUGCCCCCCGCCGCCGCGCUGAUGGUGUCUGCGGUUCUUUAUCGACGGGGGCAGCUGCAGCACAGUGGCGGCGCCGCCUCUUGUCAGGCGAACUAUUGCAACCGCUAUCCACCGCGCCGGGUACUCAGGGUGAGCGCCGACGGCACCGUCGGAGCGAUCGCCCACCGCCGGCGUAUCUUCCGCAACGACAUCAGGCAGGUGCGAUGCUAUGGCGCGAGGUGGCUCUCUUCGACGCGUACACCCUCAUCACUAUCGGCCACGUGAGCGAACACGCCGUCGACGGCGCGGAGGUGGACAAGAACGCUGUGCUGCAGCAGCUGGCGUGGCUUCAGCAAGAGUGUGCGCAACAUCUCACCGUGCUGGAGGCUUCAGACAGCGAGGUAACGGAAAGGGUUGGCACCGACUCCGAGCCUGCCGAGUCAGGUGGUAACAUCGACUCUGAGUCAUCAGCGACCAAAGACCGUGGCGCAUCCUACUCUAUGCCACUUGCACGAAGGUCAAUGUUGCUGCGGUGCCUCAAACAGCGCACUCGCGCUGGGCUGAUUGCCAAGCUGCAGGAGGGACUUCGCCUUAGUGCCAAGGUGCUCGCCCGCUGGGGCACGCCGGAGCAGAUUUGCGCACUCUACCUUCGAUAUCCAUCGAUGGGAGCUAGCUGGGAGGUGGGGCGGGCAUUGCUUCAGUGUGGGCAGUACAGCGUCGCUGUGGAGGUGCUGGAAUCGUUGUUGCAAGCGAGUGCGACCGCGCGAGGGGCGUCAGCGACGUAUCCGUCGGCCGUCUCCUCUACAUCCUCUCCUCCGUUGCUGCUGUCCAACAGUGCGAUUGCGGUGCGUCAGCUGUUGCUGGAGGCGAUGGAGGGUGCGGCAGCCGCCUUGGUGCAGCACUCACAGCAGUGCCACGCAGUUCCUGCCUCAGCAUCCUCUUCAGACGCCGCUGCCACCUCUAUCGACGGCAGUGCGGGAGGGGAGGAAGUACCGCUCCCCGCAGAGCUGCGUACGCGACUGCAUUCCUUGUACGCGCACCUAUACUCACUACCGAUUCCACUUCCUCUGUGCCUUCAUGCAGUCGUGCGAGGUCUCACUUCCGCGUCAGAGGAAGCCGCUGUCUACGGCAUCCACAACGAUGCCGAUGCCACGUCCCCGUUAGCUGCACGUCGGCACAUCAGAUCAAAAUUCAGCACCUCUGCAGACUCCCCGUCUGCGUUGCGGCCUCCGUCACGACAGCCGCACACGUCCGCAGAAGAGCGCGCCCGCACGACGGCGGUGCUGUGCACAUAUGCUCUGCGAUGUCAUCUCGCUGAAAACCCGCAUAAAGGGCUUCUGGCCAAGACAGUAGAGCUCUGGGCGUCGUGCGUGGCGCCGUACUUGUGUCGACGCAGCUGUGACGGCGCUGAGGCUUCACCAGCGUCUCCUUUGACGUCACUGAAGCUAUCCCUCACGGAUCAGUACCUCCGUGCGGUGACAGCAAGGAUCCUCUGCGGCUACCCUCAGCUACCGGUCGCUCGACUGCUGUUGUCGCGUCUGGUGCAGCUGAUGACUCCGCCGCCGUCGAUGGCGCCAUCGGGGACUUUAGAUGCUCCAUCAACCGACGACGCCGACAACGUCUCUGCAACAAGUGAUGCACGGGUAGCGCUGACGGUGGUGUGGUUGCUUGGAGUGCUCUACAAGCUUGCCGGCAUGCCUGCAGCUAGACACUCGGCCACCAGCCACGGGUCUCGUUCUCACGCAAACGUUGCCAUACCCACAUCCCUCGCGUAUCGGCUAUGUGUACCAGUGACCACCACCACAGCUUCAACGCAAGACACGGAGAAAUCGGCGCUCAUGUCAUGUGACACGCAGCUCCUCGCCGGCUGCCGCGCAUGGAACGCUGGCUUCACGGAGCGUUACGCGCUGGACACACUGCGCUUGAUGCCGCGUAUCGCCUUGGAGGCUCUCGAACGGCUGUUGCGCUCGUUAGCGCGGCACUCUGCUGCCGUGGCUGCCACCAGCCCGACCGGCUCUCUCAUUGCGGCCGUGCAGAGGGCAGCCACUCUGUCUGGACGGAGCGUCGGCUUCUUCCACGAUCGCGUCAGCGUGAUCUUGCAGUACCGUCGAGCCGAGGAGGAGCAGCGUCAGCCCUGGCAGUGCAGCGCGUGCUACCUGUGGAACAGUCGGUACGCACGAGCCUGCAAGCGAUGCCAUGCCUUGUCGACGGUGCUGCUACAGUGCCGCGCGUGCGGGUGCUUGACGUCGUCCGCGGACGACCGGGAUGAUCAUGGGCUGAGCUGCGACGUGUGUGGGAUAGCGUUGGUUCCACCUUUGUCGUUUCAGAGCAGCGGCGAGGUGCCGCAGUCAUCUUCGUCAGCGGCAGAUCCCUUGCUAUGCGCUUCCACAAUCGAUGCAGGCGUGGUGCAUGUGCGGACACAAGACCUCACGACUGCCGCGGGUAGGCGCUUCGCCGCUGCUGCUGCUGCCACUGUCACCGGCACCGGCCGCGCAGCCAAUCGGUUCACCGCUUCUGCCGCCAUCGCACGCGUCGUGCCGCUGCGACAGUGGACGUGCAUGCACUGCCGCACCGUGAACGAUCCGCAGCACGUUUUCUUCUGCCGCGGCUGCGGGCGAGCGACGACCGAUCCGGAGAAGCGCGAGGCGGCGGCGAGCGCUGCUGGUGUCGAUGGCGCAAGCAAUUCUGCGGCUGCGCUGGCUUGUGAGGGUUGUAGGCACAGCCCCAAGUCCAUCGAGGCACGUAUGCGGCCGUGGUGCGAACGGUGCGGUGCUCUCUAUCAGCGCGUUCGAGAGCUGCACAAGCAGGCUGCCGGUAACUGCACCUUGUCAUCGUCGACCAACUCGCCUUCGCAUGUGCCCGCCUCUGCCACCGGCACGAUCCCUCCUACCGCUGCUUCUACAGGGCAGCACUCACCAUAUCUGUGGUGGUGCGCCGAGUGCACGGCGGCGCUCAAUCCCUGGACACGCACUCACUGCGAACUCUGUGGCGCCGGCCGGCCGGCCGCUUCUGCCGCUGUGCCGGAGGCGACGCCUGGUCUCUCACUCCUUUCAGAGAAGUACAACGCUGCUGCCCCGUUCAUUGUGCUGCCUUGGCUGAUGCAGGCGUGUCACUCCUGCAAGGCACAGAGUCGUGUUGGCAUGCUUCAUUGCUGGCAGUGCCACGCGCUGCUGACGUGGCCGCUCGAGGUGCAGCGGGCGGUGUCCGACGGGUGGCGGCGGUGGGUGACACAGGUGGCGCACAUCGUGAUGGACGUCAGAGAUACAGAAUCGCAAACGGAAGAUGGGGCCGCCUGCUCAUCCACAGGCGCAGAUACCCCAUUGCACGUUCCAUGCGGUACGCAAUGGCUGUGCUUGCAUGACGGCUGCAUGCAUGUCAACGUUGUCCACGGCGCAGCAGCAGACGCUUAUGGCGACUCAGGCGCAACACCAGCGCCUCUCUGUCAUACAUGCACCGCGUGCGCCUUUGCACCGCGCCGUCCAGCCGAGGUGCUGAGUCCGUUUCACGACCGCUUUGCCUGGAGUGAGGCAGCGGCGCGGCUUUCUCCGACGAACGCUGCGUUGGUGGUGGAGGCACUGCUGUUGCCACCGAGCUCACCGUUGCCCGGCGACGUCACCAUGCGACACUCCGAGUCGUUCGGCGCUGUGAGCGCAGCGUCGGAAGUGUUGUCUGCGGUACGAUCAGAGGAGACAGCGGCAACGGCGCCACAGUCACACGAGCGAUGGCUUCACCGCUCGUGGUUGUCGGGCGUAGCGACCACCUUUGUCUGCACUUCAUGCGGGGCGAGUGGGGCGUCUGGGGCGGCGGCGCCGUCAACACCGUUGCCGGUGCGUCUUCGCCCGCUCUUCAUGGUCAACGUGUGCGCCUCUUGUGGGUUUUGCGCGUGGGGUCGGUCGUCGUGCGCGUAUGACAUACCCGGCACUCCCUGUGCCGGUGCUGGCGAUGACGUGAGGCAGCAGCCGUCCUCGUCCCCGGCACGUGGUCAAGCGAGAGAAGGCGCGAUGGCGCAGCCGCCACUGUUGCCGGGAGAACAUGCCAUGGCUCUGCGACUGCUCCUGAAGGCCCUGGCGCACGCUGUACGGGAAUGGGUUGCGCUUGAACUACCUCCGUCCAAGCGCGUGGCCUCCAGGUCAAGCUGCACCGACAGCGGUAAAGCCUCAAUGGCGGCCUCUUCUCCGGUGUCUGUGACGGGGCCAAGUCGGAGGCUGGACUGGGCGUGGCUGUCUCGUUUUGUCCUCUCUGGAGUCCGGCUCAUCACCUCGUCCGCGUCGGAGGCGCUACCCCACGGCGACGACUCUCGUGGGGGCUCGUGCGCCCUGCGUCACCAGCACUGCCUGCACGAGCGCCUGCCGUGGCGCGGCUGCGACUUGGCGUCUCCGCAGCAGGCUUGCUCCGCUGAACCGCGAGUGGCCGUGCUCGAGAGUCGCGGCCACGGCACAGGAACGGUGCACUCGGCCAUUGUAGAUGUGCGUCAGGUCUUGGACGGUGUAUGUGCUCUUGCCGAGCACCGUGUCAGGGGGUCACUGUCGUGCUCGAGGUCGCCGCGGCGACGGCAUCGCGGCAAGGGCGAUCACGCCCAUCAGCAGCACACGUCUCCACCGGCGCUCCCGCCGUGUCUGCAGGACGCAUGGACUCGUCGGCUGAUUCUUGCAGCCCUCGAGCUGAUCGAUGUGGUCAACGCCAGCACUGUCUUUGACGACAUCGGCUUUGCCACGCUGCGCCGUCUGUGCCUCCUGCUCCGCCCUGACGAGGUGGAGCACAUCAACACGGAAACCAAGUGGACAUACCUGCAGGACAUGAAGCUGUCUCGAAGCCACGUGUUGCGCGGGUGUGUACAGUGCGAGCAAUGCUUGACAACCCACGGGCCCGAUCAGCCGUGCGCCGCUCCGUAGCCGGCGCAUCACCGGUGCUACUCACGGAAACUCCCGCACACACACCCCCACACAAAAAGCGACGUGGACGACAUAGCGUGUCGCCUGCUGGUUAUGGGAGCGUCGGCUCUGUUGUUUGAGAGAGAAGUCAGAGGAUUGAGGGAAGGGGGAGGGAGGUACUUCGGGUGGCGCUGGUGCAGCACAUCGCACGCGUUCUCUCGACGUUUGUGUGCUUGUUCGGCCACCCGUUCACACGAAAUACGUUUGCCUGUGUCGGAAAGACUAUCGCGAAGCGACCAGCGAGCGUGCAUGCCACGCACUCCUCCCACCCCUCCGGACAUGGACGCACUUGCACACACGUUCCUCGACGAUGCUCAUGACACAUCAUCAUUCAUUCCUUUCAUGUUGGAGAAACACCCGAGCAGAGGAAAGCGAAUGCCGUACGAUGUGCACGUUCGUCUGCAGCAGCAGCGAUGGUGAAGGCGGCUCGCCUGCUUGCGCGCUCAUGUCCAAUGCGGCCCCACGAUGAUCCCCAUGCGUUCCCCUCCCCCUCAAGCCAUGCCGCGUACACACGUACACAAAUGUGCAUGCGCUUCGCUCAUUUUCCUUGCGCGGUCAUCUUGACUCCCUUUCUUGCUGCCUUCCUUGGCCAAACGCGUU
rnacentral:misc_RNA from 1 species